rnacentral:tRNA from 2 species
UCCCGGGUAGCUCAGUGGCAGAGCGGGUGGCUGUUAACCACUUUGUCGGGGGUUCGACUCCCUCCCCGGGAGCCA